AGUGAACGCUGGCGGUAGGCCUAACACAUGCAAGUCGAACGGCAGCACAGUAAGAGCUUGCUCUUACGGGUGGCGAGUGGCGGACGGGUGAGGAAUACAUCGGAAUCUACUUUUUCGUGGGGGAUAACGUAGGGAAACUUACGCUAAUACCGCAUACGACCUACGGGUGAAAGCAGGGGAUCUUCGGACUUUGCGCGAUUGAAUGAGCCGAUGUCGGAUUAGCUAGUUGGCGGGGUAAAGGCCCACCAAGGCGACGAUCCGUAGCUGGUCUGAGAGGAUGAUCAGCCACACUGGAACUGAGACACGGUCCAGACUCCUACGGGAGGCAGCAGUGGGGAAUAUUGGACAAAGGGCGCAAGCCUGAUCCAGCCAUACCGCGUGGGUGAAGAAGGCCUUCGGGUUGUAAAGCCCUUUUGUUGGGAAAGAAAAGCAGCAGGUUAAUACCCCGCUGUUCUGACGGUACCCAAAGAAUAAGCACCGGCUAACUUCGUG
rnacentral:rRNA from 1 species